rnacentral:rRNA from 1 species
UGGGGAAUAUUGCACAAUGGGCGCAAGCCUGAUGCAGCCAUGCCGCGUGUAUGAAGAAGGCCUUCGGGUUGUAAAGUACUUUCAGUCGGGAGGAAGGUGUCAAGGUUAAUAACCUUGGCAAUUGACGUUACCGACAGAAGAAGCACCGGCUAACUCCGUGCCAGCAGCCGCGGUAAUACGGAGGGUGCAAGCGUUAAUCGGAAUUACUGGGCGUAAAGCGCACGCAGGCGGUUGAUUGAGUCAGAUGUGAAAUCCCCGGGCUUAACCCGGGAAUUGCAUCUGAUACUGGUCAGCUAGAGUAUUGUAGAGGGGGGUAGAAUUCCAUGUGUAGCGGUGAAAUGCGUAGAGAUGUGGAGGAAUACCGGUGGCGAAGGCGGCCCCCUGGACAAAGACUGACGCUCAGGUGCGAAAGCGUGGGGAGCAAACAGG